ACAAUAAUAGCUAACAUUGGUCCAACCCAUAUUUUACAUGAGGCACUUGUGUUUAUUAGCUCCUUUACCCUCACCACAACCCGAUGAAGCUGAUAUCAUCAUUAUCUCCACUUCAUAGGUGUGGGAACUGAGGGUUGAGUUGAUCAGGUAGCCGAGAUCAGUCACAGAGAUGUAAGUGAGUCAGAAACCAUCUGGAACCUACACAAGCUGCAUCUAAAGACCCUGUGCUCUCACUUGGCUUAUGGUGUAAUUUAUGAAAGAAAGAGACAGGACGACACAACCCACAGGAAAUUCUCCAUGACAUUAAAGAAGAUCACGAAAGCCGCUCUGCAGCUGGAAGAAAAAGAAGGCACUGUGACUGGAGGGCCAGGGAAGAAGGAAGAGAAAGGUAUGACUAUGUAGGUGUGGGUCACCUGCAGGCAUCACAGCC